CAGGAAUCUGCACAUCCGGCCUGCUCAUCUCCUGGAUCCUGCAGGUGGCGCUCCUCCAGCUGCCUGAACGUUCAUAGCUGAGUCUCUGUCCUUUCCCAGUCUUUAUGAAACUCAAUAUCCACAUGCUAUACAAUCACCUUCCGGUAAUUUUCAAGUUUCCAGGUCACUCCUGAAAAUGUUUCCAAAAGUAAGUGUGUGUUGGGGCCAUUGUUCCAAUUCUC
rnacentral:lncRNA from 1 species